GAUAGGUGGGAGGCUUUGAAGCGUGGACGCCAGUCUGCGUGGAGCCGACCUUGAAAUACCACCCUUUAAUGUUUGAUGUUCUAACGUGGAUCCGUAAUCCGGGUUGCGGACAGUGUCUGGUGGGUAGUUUGACUGGGGCGGUCUCCUCCUAAAGAGUAACGGAGGAGCACGAAGGUUGGCUAAUCCUGGUCGGACAUCAGGAGGUUAGUGCAAUGGCAUAAGCCAGCUUGACUGCGAGCGUGACGGCGCGAGCAGGUGCGAAAGCAGGUCAUAGUGAUCCGGUGGUUCUGAAUGGAAGGGCCAUCGCUCAACGGAUAAAAGGUACUCCGGGGAUAACAGGCUGAUACCGCCCAAGAGUUCAUAUCGACGGCGGUGUUUGGCACCUCGAUGUCGGCUCAUCACAUCCUGGGGCUGAAGUAGGUCCCAAGGGUAUGGCUGUUCGCCAUUUAAAGUGGUACGCGAGCUGGGUUUAGAACGUCGUGAGACAGUUCGGUCCCUAUCUGCCGUGGGCGCUGGAGAACUGAGGGGGGCUGCUCCUAGUACGAGAGGACCGGAGUGGACGCAUCACUGGUGUUCGGGUUGUCAUGCCAAUGGCACUGCCCGGUAGCUAAAUGCGGAAGAGAUAAGUGCUGAAAGCAUCUAAGCACGAAACUUGCCCCGA
rnacentral:rRNA from 2 species